rnacentral:rRNA from 1 species
AUUGAACGCUGGCGGCAGGCUUAACACAUGCAACUCGAGCGGGGUGAUGGUGCUUGCACUAUCACUUAGCGGCGGACGGGUGAGUAAUGCUUUGGAAUCUGCCUAUUAGGGGGGGACAACAUCUCGAAAGGGAUGCUAAUACCGCAUACGUCCUACGGGAGAAAGCAGGGGAUCACUUGUGACUCUGCGCUAAUCGCUGAGCCUAAGUCGGAGUAGCUAGUUGGUGGGGUAAAUGCCUACCAAGGCGACGAUCUGUAGCGGGUCUGAGAGGAUGAUCCGCCACACUGGGACUGAGACACGGCCCAGACUCCUACGGGAGGCAGCAGUGGGGAAUAUUGGACAAUGGGGGGAACCCUGAUCCAGCCAUGCCGCGUGGGUGAAGAAGGCCUUAUGGUUGUAAAGCACUUUAAGCGAGGAGGAGGCUCUUUUGGUUAAUACCCAAGAUGAGUGGACGUUACUCGCAGAAUAAGCACCGGCUAACUCUGUGCCAGCCGCCGCCGUAA